UACGUAGGGUGCAAGCGUUAUCCGGAUUCACUGGGUUUAAAGGGUGCGUAGGCGGUCAUGUAAGUCAGUGGUGAAAUCUCCAAGCUUAACUUGGAAACUGCCGUUGAUACUAUCUGUCUUGAAUAUUGUGGAGGUGAGCGGAAUAUGUCAUGUAGCGGUGAAAUGCUUAGAUAUGACAUAGAACACCAAUUGCGAAGGCAGCUCACUAAACAAUCAUUGACGCUGAGGCACGAAAGCGUGGGGAGCAAACAGG
rnacentral:rRNA from 1 species